rnacentral:sRNA from 1 species
UUUCGUAGAACAUCGGCUAAAAUCGCCACAUCCUGUGGCAGGCUCUGGCAGGCUCAAAAUGCACCCUCCUGGUGCUUCGCCUGCACUAGUACUUCCUGUACGUCGCAACGCCGAUGGACCCGCAUCCUGCGAG